rnacentral:tRNA from 1 species
GGGGGCAUAGUUCAAUUGGUAGAGCUCCGGUCUCCAAAACCGGCGGUUGGGAGUUCAAGUCUCUCUGCCCCUG